rnacentral:rRNA from 1 species
AAUUGACGGGGGCCCGCACAAGCGGCGGAGCAUGUGGAUUAAUUCGAUGCAACGCGAAGAACCUUACCUGGGCUUGACAUGGACUAGAAAGCUCUAGAGAUAGAGCCUCCCUUGUGGCUGGUUCACAGGUGGUGCAUGGCUGUCGUCAGCUCGUGUCGUGAGAUGUUGGGUUAAGUCCCGCAACGAGCGCAACCCUCGUUCCAUGUUGCCAGCACGUAAUGGUGGGGACUCAUGGGAGACUGCCGGGGUCAACUCGGAGGAAGGUGGGGAUGACGUCAAGUCAUCAUGCCCCUUAUGUCCAGGGCUUCACACAUGCUACAAUGGCCGGUACAAAGGGCUGCUAAGCCGUGAGGUGGAGCGAAUCCCAUAAAGCCGGUCUCAGUUCGGAUCGGGGUCUGCAACUCGACCCCGUGAAGUCGGAGUCGCUAGUAAUCGCAGAUCAGCAACGCUGCGGUGAAUACGUUCCCGGGCCUUGUACACACCGCCCGUCACGUCACGAAAGUCGGUAA